rnacentral:rRNA from 1 species
CAGUAGCCGCGGGAAUACGGAGGGAGCUAGCGUUGUUCGGAAUUACUGGGCGUAAGGCGCACGUAGGCGGCUUGGUAAGUUAGAGGUGAAAGCCCGGAGCUCAACUCCGGAAUUGCCUUUAAGACUGCCGAGCUAGCAGGUGAGAGAGGUAAGUGAAAUUCCGAGUGUAGAGGUGAAAUUCGUAGAUAUUCGGAAGAACACCAGUGGCGAAGGCGGCUUACUGGCUCAUACUGGACGCUGAGGUGCGAAAGCGUGGGGAGCAAACAGGAUUAGAUACCCGGGUAGUCCCUGUCUCUUAUAC